GAACGCUGGCGGCGUGCCUAAUACAUGCAAGUCGAGCGAACGGACGAGAAGCUUGCUUCUCUGAUGUUAGCGGCGGACGGGUGAGUAACACGUGGAUAACCUACCUAUAAGACUGGGAUAACUUCGGGAAACCGGAGUUAAUACCGGAUGAUAUUUUGAACCGCAUGGUUCAAAAGUGAAAGACGGUCUUGCUGUCGCUUAUAGAUGGAUCCGCGCUGCAUUAGCUAGUUGGUAAGGUAACGGCUUACCAAGGCAACGAUGCAUAGCCGACCUGAGAGGGUGAUCGGCCACACUGGAACUGAGACACGGUCCAGACUCCUACGGGAGGCAGCAGUAGGGAAUCUUCCGCAAUGGGCGAAAGCCUGACGGAGCAACGCCGCGUGAGUGAUGAAGGUCUUCGGAUCGUAAAACUCUGUUAUUAGGGAAGAACAUAUGUGUAAGUAACUGUGCACAUCUUGACGGUACCUAAUCAGAAAGCCACGGCUAACUACGUG
rnacentral:rRNA from 1 species